rnacentral:misc_RNA from 1 species
AUGUGGAGGUGUGCAGGUCUACACUCAGUGUGGUCUGCUCCUCUGAAAUGUAUUAGUGGGUUAGGCUCCUAGUCUAUUGGUGUGAUAAUUAUCUACGCCGUGGAUCAGGAUGCUUGUAUAGACCUGCUUCUAACCGUCCGCAAGGGACAACUUAUGACAAUUUUGACCUCAAAUCAGGUAAGACUACCCGCUGAACUUAA